UACGGCGAGUGAGAGGGAAGAGCCCAAGAUUGAAAGCUGGCGUCUUCGGCGUCCGCAUUGUAAUCUCAAGAAGUGUUUUCCGCUUCGGACCAUGCCUAAGUCCCUUGGAAAAGGGCAUCAUAGAGGGUGAUAAUCCCGUACAUGGCAUGGAGCGCCCGAAGCUUUGUGAUACGCUUUCUACGAGUCGAGUUGUUUGGGAAUGCAGCUCAAAAUGGGUGGUAAAUGCCAUCUAAGGCUAAAUAUUGGGGAGAGACCGAUAGCGAACAAGUACAGUGAUGGAAAAAUAAAAAGAACUUUGAAAAGAGAGUUAAACAGUACGUGAAAUUGCCAAAAGGGAAGGGUAGGAGGUCAGAGAUGCGGCCUGGGAUUCAGCCUUGCUUUUGCUUGGUGUUUUUCCCAGAUUGCAGGCCAACGUCGGUUUUGGGCACUGGAGAAGGGUAGGAGGAACGUGGCACCUCUCGGGGUGUGUUAUAGCCUCCUACUGGAUACAGCGACCGAGACCGAGGACAGCAGCGUACUCGCAAGAGCGGGCCUUCGGGCACCUUUACGCUUAGGGCGUUGGCAUAAUGGCCCUCUACCACCCGUCUU
rnacentral:rRNA from 1 species